UCUUACGGGAGGCAGCAGUGAGGAAUAUUGCACAAUGGGCGAAAGCCUGAUGCAGCAAUGCCGCGUGUGUGGAAGGACUGCGGGUUGUAAAGCACUUUCAGUAGGGAGGAUUAUGACGUUACCUACAGAAGAAGCACCGGCUAACUCUGUGCCAGCAGCCGCGGUAAU
rnacentral:rRNA from 1 species